rnacentral:rRNA from 1 species
AACGAACGCUGGCGGCAGGCUUAACACAUGCAAGUCGAACGCCCCGCAAGGGGAGUGGCAGACGGGUGAGUAACGCGUGGGAAUCUACCUAGUUCUACGGAACAACAGUUGGAAACGACUGCUAAUACCGUAUACGCCCUACGGGGGAAAGAUUUAUCGGAAUUAGAUGAGCCCGCGUAAGAUUAGCUAGUUGGUGGGGUAAUGGCCUACCAAGGCGACGAUCUUUAGCUGGUCUGAGAGGAUGAUCAGCCACACUGGGACUGAGACACGGCCCAGACUCCUACGGGAGGCAGCAGUGGGGAAUAUUGGACAAGGGGCGCAAGCCUGAUCCAGCCAUGCCGCGUGAGUGAUGAAGGCCUUAGGGUUGUAAAGCUCCUUCACCGAUGAAGAUAAUGACGGUAGUCGGAGAAGAAGCCCCGGCUAACUUCGUGCCAGCCGCCGCGGUAAUAC